AUGGGUCACUCACGAAAUACCGCAAAAACAAUGUAGUGAAGAAUUUAGUCUAUGGACACACGAACAGUACACGGUGCGAUUGGAUGAAUAAUAACGUUGGCUGCUGCACAAAGAGAAAGGCCGGAGAAGCCAUCAUCUGGUGCUGUGUACAGCAAGCACAUGCUUCGGGCAAGGAGGGAGCCAGCACCAUAUCUACAUCAGCAAGAACCUCGGUGCUCAAAAUAAACAUUUUCUGUGCAAA